rnacentral:rRNA from 1 species
UGGGGAAUAUUGCACAAUGGGGGAAACCCUGAUGCAGCAACGCCGCGUGAAGGAAGACGGUUUUCGGAUUGUAAACUUCUGUUCUUAGUGAAGAAAUAAAUGACGGUAGCUAAGGAGCAAGCCACGGCUAACUACGUGCCAGCAGCCGCGGUAAUACGUAGGUGGCAAGCGUUGUCCGGAAUUACUGGGUGUAAAGGGAGCGCAGGCGGGAAGCCAAGUCAGCUGUGAAAACUACGGGCUUAACUUGUAGAUUGCAGUUGAAACUGGUUUUCUUGAGUGAAGUAGAGGUUGGCGGAAUUCCGAGUGUAGCGGUGAAAUGCGUAGAUAUUCGGAGGAACACCGGUGGCGAAGGCGGCCAACUGGGCUUUAACUGACGCUGAGGCUCGAAAGUGUGGGGAGCAAACAGG